rnacentral:rRNA from 1 species
AAACUUUCAACAACGGAUCUCUUGGUUCUGGCAUCGAUGAAGAACGCAGCGAAAUGCGAUAAGUAAUGUGAAUUGCAGAAUUCAGUGAAUCAUCGAAUCUUUGAACGCACAUUGCGCCUAUUAUUUUUGUAGUAGGCAUGCCUAUUCGAGCGUCAUUU